UACGGGGGGGGGCAAGCGUUGUUCGGAAUUACUGGGCGUAAAGGGCUCGUAGGCGGCCAACUAAGUCAGACGUGAAAUCCCUCGGCUUAACCGGGGAACUGCAUCUGAUACUGGAUGGCUUGAGUUCGGGGAGAGGGAUGCGGAAUUCCAGGUGUAGCAGUGAAAUGCGUAGAUAUGAGAGGAACACCAGUGCGAAGGCGAGUCUCUGGACGACUCCUGACACUGAGGCACGAAAGCUAGGGGAGCAAACAGG
rnacentral:rRNA from 1 species